GGGGCUACGUGCACGUGCUGAAGGGU
rnacentral:piRNA from 1 species